GCCUGGGUGGCUCAGUGGGUUAAAGCCUCUGCCUUUGGCUCAGGUCAUGAUCCCAGGGUCGUGGGAUCGAGCCCCGCAUCAGGCU
rnacentral:tRNA from 1 species